CCAAAUUCUCGGAUUGCAGCUUGUUAAAUGUGAAUAGUUUCUAGAGCAUUCUCUCCUCUGUGAUAGUAAACUGGAUCUCUUUGAGUUGGGGACAAUACAAGACAUCUGAGGACACCAUCCGGGGCUUUUUUGUAAAC